UAUGUGAAUGAUAAGAGGAAAGGAAAGCAGAAAAAUCUUGACUCACAGCAUUUUACUAACAGAUUUUAUAUUUUCUUUUUCUUCCAGGAAAGAGGGAGAAAAAAGAAACUGACAGUGUUUAACAACCCAACCUAACUAAGAAAUCCACACUUCACAGUGAAGCGUGGUCAAAAGAAUUAGGAAAGAGGAAUAUGCAACCCCUCAUGAAUGAAAACAAACCAGGAAGAUUUUGCUCACCCUUAAAACAAAAAUCACCCUGAAAUGAAGAAGCGUCAUGGGAAAUUUCAGCCCAUCUGGUGAAUCUUUUAGAAAAUGAUGAGCAGCAAGCUAUUUUUAACUGUAACUAUUAUGAACACUGCUAAUGCCCACUUCAGUGUAAUCAGUUGUCUAAAUGUUGUUUUAAAUCUGUAAAGUAUCUACAAUCAGCACGUGUAAGAACUGCUAUAAAAGUAUGGUACACUGCAUUUUUGCUGUCAAAAUAAUUUUACAUCUUGAGAUUGAUAUUAAAGAAAACACUUUGUUCUUAAAACUUCUCCCUCUGC